rnacentral:rRNA from 1 species
CAAUAGCGUAUAUUAAAGUUGUUGCAGUUAAAAAGCUCGUAGUUGAAUUUUUGCUUGCCGCCGAUGUCGGAACUUCCGUACGUUCGGCGGCGUGCAUCCUUGGGUGGAACCUGUGUGGCAUUAGGUUGUCGUGCAGGGGAUGCUCAUCGUUUACUGUGAAAAAAUUAGAGUGUUCAAAGCAGGCUUACGCCGUUGAAUAUAUUAGCAUGGAAUAAUAAGAUAGGACCUUGGUACUAUUUUGUUGGUUUGCGCACCGAGGUAAUGAUUAACAGGGACAGUUGGGGGUAUUCGUAUUCCAUUGUCAGAGGUGAAACUCUUGGAUUUCUGGAAGACGAACUACUGCGAAAGCAUUUACCAAGGAUGUUUNCAUUAA